UUUUCAAAAUCAAUAAUUCUUUUUCUCCAUUAUAAAAAGUAAGUUUUAAAAUAUUUGAUGGAAUCGGUUGUUUUGUAAUUUUAAAAAGAAAAGUUUAAACUAAUGAAGUACUGCUACUUGGAAAUGUCUAUAUAAUGAAGUCGAUUUACUAGGAAAUGUCUAUACAAUGAAACCCUAUCCUCUACUGUCGGCAAGCAUUUGUACUGCUACUUGGAUCGUAGUACGAAGUACAAAUGUACAUAAACGGCACACACUCAAUCCCUUUUUAUCGUUAAAUUCAAAGCAUAACAAUUGUAGUACUCUUCUAUGAAACAUGUAUUGUUUUCAGUACUACAAAUUAGUACAAGAUUUGGAAAGACAAGUAUACAACCGUUAUAAUAAUUUCAUCAAAGCAAUAGAAAUUAGGCUUCAGACUUCUGUAUAAAGAAAGGAUUGCAAGUACACCGUCGCGACGGCACAAGAUUCAACAAAGAUAGUCGAUGAUCAUAGUCUGCUGGUGACUUUGGGGUCGAUGUGCAGAGGUUGCGCUACCACCAUUUUUGGUAUCAAAAUCAAGUUUUCAACUUCAACAGGUGCAUUGAAGGGGCUCGACUCGAUCUUGAUACCAUCAAUGGUGGCGGCGCCGCCCUUCGGGGCCAAUGUCACCAACAAACUGUCAUUAUCGUCUGCUCUAAAUUCUUUCAUUUCCUAAGCUGCUGCUAAUCCAAAUUAUGGGACCAGGUAGUACUUUUCCAUUUUCCUUAAAUUUUUCUGUUCGUUUUUUCAAUUUUUAGAUUCCAGAAUUGGAGUUUCUGGUGCAGGACUACUACAUGCACUAUUUGGGAGAGUUGCGGACUCCAACUACCAGUGCUGCUGUCGGGGUGUAGAUGGAAGAUGAUAGAUGAUCCUUUUUUUUUUUCUUUUUUUUUUAAUUCUACAUUCAUUUAUUUUUCUUCUCUUUUCUUUUGUUUUUGCCCUUCAACAAGAUACGUACCUUGUAGUCAUGUGUAGAGGACAUGCUUGGAUCAAAGAUUUGUUUCACAGUUUUAGAAUUACGAUCCCCUCGAUAGUGCAGUUGGAACUUUGAAGAGCCUGUGUGUAAUUUCCCUUAUAUAAAACUACGAUCCCAUUACACUACUUGUCCAGAAAAAAUGCUAGGCUGCAUUAUAGGUGCAGUGUUGGCCAAGCCGCAGUUUGGAAAUAAAAAUGAGUGGAACAAUAUUUUUU